GGGGAUGUAGCUCAGUGGGAGGGUGCUUGCUUUGCAUGCAUGAAGCCCUGGGUUUGAUCCCUAGCACACACU
rnacentral:tRNA from 1 species